CUCCUACGGGGCGCAGCAGUGAGGAAUAUUGGUCAAUGGGCGCAAGCCUGAACCAGCCAAGUCGCGUGAGGGAUGACGGUCCUAUGGAUUGUAAACCUCUUUUGUCGGGGAGCAAGGCCCGCCACGUGUGGCGGGAAGGAGAGUACCCGAAGAAAAAGCAUCGGCUAACUCCGUGCCAGCAGCCGCGGUAAUACGGAGGAUGCGAGCGUUAUCCGGAUUUAUUGGGUUUAAAGGGUGCGUAGGCGGAUCGUUAAGUCAGUGGUCAAAUUGAGGGGCUCAACCCCUUCCCGCCAUUGAAAAUGGCG
rnacentral:rRNA from 1 species